UUUCUGUUCAAGGAUUUCAGAGAACAGUAAACACUCUUAAUUACAGCUGAUCUGCAGAGAGAGCUGAUAGCUUGACCUUCCAACCAAGUUAAUGAGCAAGAUUAAAACUUUUCAGUGAAGACCAUGGAGAAUUUAGCUGAUUCAUUGUCCUUGAUGAGACACCAUGGAAAACAAUGACCCCUGGCAGAAGGGGCCAGGGACUCCACGCGCAGCUGUGCCAGCUAUAGUCUGUAGAAAGACUCCCAGCAAGGAUGUGAGAGGGGUUGAAACUAGCCAAGAUCUGUUUCUAAGCCAUGAACUCUGGCAAAAGGCCAUGUCAAAGGUGCCCUAAGGUACAGAGGUGGCCCGGUGAGAAGUCCUCAGGUUCUUAAGACUGACAAAGUAAUGAGAGAGACGUGGCACCAAGCACUGAAUCAGAAGAGAGUACGUUGUUUUUGUCCACUUUGAUGGCCUUACCCUCUGAAUCAGUGAUUUCGUCCUUUCCACUCUCAUACUCUCCUAAAGCUUCCUUCAGCUCACUCAAUUCUCAGAGUGACCAGGAUUGUCUCCUAGUAAUAGCAGGAGAAACUUGUGAGACGACUGCUAAGACCAAAACCACCAGCAAAAGGAAAAGAGCCAUCUUGUUUCCUUGAGGAUGAAGAAAAAUAGAAGGCAGAUGAAUUCGCUGCUAGCCUGCCUGCCUGGGUCCUGUGAUGGCAGCAUGAGGCUUCCUUUUCCUGACUGUGAAUAGCCUGUCCUGAUACUGGAGGGUUGCUGUUUCCAGGCAUUAGACAUUCAUCUUCUUGUGAUCUGAACUGAGGAGAUGGCAUCCCUGAGCACAUGUGUUUAGUGCCUGAUGGUGAGAUUUACCAUUUUCUUCACCUCUUCUUUCUGCUGUUUUCUGAUGGAUUGGAACAAGUCCUGAUUGUUGUAAGCAGCAGUAACUCCAUUGUCUCAAUAAGAGCAAGAGAGAAGGAAAUAUUUACUGGUGUCUUAAGCAUCAACAAAGGAAGCAGCGGAGAAGAACAAAGUGCUUCUACCAUCCCUCCCACUGUCCACAAACAUGGCACAUGCUCUAAGCUAUGCUUCACCUACUCUGCAUCCAUGGCUGCUGGAGUAAUUCAGGCUGCACUCAACUCAACCAAGAUUUAUAAGACUUUCAGGACACUAACCAGAGCUUCUAAGUGCUGAGACUUUUGCAUAGCCUUCCAGGGGUAGAGUGGGAGCGUGUGGCACAGAACCACAGCAAUGCAGUGAAAAUGAAGCAAAAACCUGAAUUGAAUCACACACCACAAGGAACCUUCCUCUGGAGACUGAGUGCAGAACCCAUCACACUCGCAGAGCCUGGGCCAGCCAAACUCCUUUCUCUCAACAUUGUUGGAACUUUUGCAACUCCAAGAGGCUUUUGAGGUAAUUUGGCACCAUUAGAACAUCCCAGGCUGUAGAAGAAAUAUGCAUGGUCUCUGACUCCAAA